AUCUGUGAAUUUGGAGAUAGACAUCUUCCCGUCCAUCUUGAAAUUGGUCAAAUGAUUUUUUGUUUUGUUCACUUAAAAUUCUUUUCCUCUAGUAUAAUUUUCAUUUUUCAAGAAACUACUAUUAUUAUACUGAAGUUUAUUACACAGCUUGAUUUGUCUAGGAUACAAGUACUUACAUCAUUUUCUUUUAAGACAAAAAAAAAUACAUCAUAGAAUAUUAAGUUUUCAAAAACAUCCGAUCCAAUUACUUCCGUACUUUGCUAGUCAUCUGCUACCUGGUUGCCUUGCUUGAAUAUAUGCUUUAAAUCCAAACUUCCUGCCUAAGCAUUAACCGCCUGAAAUCAUUUUGAAUUCUUGGUUUUGGGAUUAGUUAUACUUCCCUUGAUGCAAGACCAAGGAAAGCAUAAGAGGAAAGAGUUUUUUCUGUUACUUAGUGAUUUGAUAUGAUUCGGAAAAUUUAGAACUAUAUACAGUAAAACUGCUAAGGAAAUCAGUAUGGAUACAGUAAGUACCUCAGAAAACAAAGCUGUUGUUGCUGGACAGAAUAAUAUUCUCUAUUCCUCGGCUUCUGCUAAAGACCUCAGAUUGUUUAAGAUGGACAGCGAGAAACACGAUGAUUCUUCUCCUUGAGGGGUUAUUGAAGCAUCUCCUUGACGGGUUAGUGAAGCAUGCAUCAGAAACCAGGAGAAUGGCUCCAGUUCUGCUAAAGCUAAAGCCUCAGGUUCUCAGCUCUGCUAGUCAAAUCCACGGAUGUCCUCUCGCUGACACAAGUUCUUCAUGUAGGAAAUCAAUCCGUGAUUUGUAUUGAUGUAUGAAAGUCAUUAUAUACAAAGUAGGUAUCUCACUAUCAGAAUGAUACUCGGCUAAAUUAUAGGACCUAAUUACUAUACAUAAAGAAGAGAAUAUUUACAAUAUUUAAAUAGACUAUUACAUAGUCUAUCACACCCCCGCAGUCGAAGCGGGAGGUUGUUGUACGCUUAGACUGUCCCUGAAAUCAUCAAAGAGCACACGCGGAAGACCUUUAGUGAAGAUAUCUGCGAUCUGGUAAUGGGACGGGACGUGAAGAACACGAACUUCUCCACGGACAACUUUCUCACGUACGAAAUGUAUGUCCAUCUCAAUAUGUUUAGUGCGUUGGUGCUGAACUGGAUUACCUGAUAGGUAUAUGGCACUAACAUUAUAACAAUAAACCAAUGUAGCUGUCCGGAUGGGACAACAGAGCUCCAAAAGAAGGUUGCGAAGCCAACAGGACUCAGAGACGACAUUAGCGUCGCCACGGUAUUCGGCCUCGCCACUCGACUUAGACAUAGUAGGUUGCCGUUUGGAUGACCAUGAGAGGAGAUUAUCAUCAAGGAAGACACAGUAACCUGAUGUGGAUCGGUGAGUGUCUGGACAACCACCCCAAUCUGCAUCUGUAUAAGAAACAAGAGAGGCAAUGGAGGAUUUGUACAGAUGGAGACCAAACUUAAUAGUACCUUGAAU